AACGCUGGCGGUCUGCUUAACACAUGCAAGUCGAACGGGUGUAGAAAUACAUUAGUGGCGGACGGGUGAGUAACGCGUGAGAAUCUACCUCAAGGACGGGGAUAACCAUGGGAAACGAUGGCUAAAACCGGAUGAGCCGAAGGGUAAAAAAUUAAUUGCCUAGAGAAGAGCUCGCGUCUGAUUAGCUAGUUGGUAGGGUAAGAGCCUACCAAGGCAUCGAUCAGUAGCUGGUCUGAGAGGAUGACCAGCCACACUGGGACUGAGACACGGCCCAGACUCCUACGGGAGGCAGCAGUGGGGAAUUUUCCGCAAUGGGCGAAAGCCUGACGGAGCAAGACCACGUGAGGGAGGAAGGCUCUUGGGUUGUAAACCUCUUUUCUUGGGGAAGAAAAAAAUGACGGUACCCAAGGAAUCAGCAUCGGCUAACUCCGUGCCAGCAGCCGCGGUAAUACGGAGGAUGCAAGCGUUAUCCGGAAUUAUUGGGCGUAAAGCGUCCGCAGGUGGCACUUCAAGUCUGCUGUCAAAGACAGUGGCUUAACUACUGAAAGGCAGUGGAAACUGAAGCGCUAGAGUGUCGUAGGGGUAGAGGGAAUUCCCGGUGUAGCGGUGAAAUGCGUAGAGAUCGGGAAGAACAUCGGUGGCGAAAGCGCUCUACUGGACGACAACUGACACUCAGGGACGAAAGCUAGGGGAGCGAAUGGGAUUAGAUACCCCAGUAGUCCUAGCCGUAAACGAUGGAUACUAGGUGUGGCUUGUAUCGACCCGAGCCGUGCCGUAGCUAACGCGUUAAGUAUCCCGCCUGGGGAGUACGCGCGCAAGCGUGAAACUCAAAGGAAUUGACGGGGGCCCGCACAAGCGGUGGAGUAUGUGGUUUAAUUCGAUGCAACGCGAAGAACCUUACCAGGGCUUGACAUGUCCGGAAUCUGCUUGAAAGGGAAAAGUGCCUUCGGGAGCC
rnacentral:rRNA from 1 species